AGUUUAAGUAGUUUAAUAAAAAUAUAAGUUUGUGGUGCUUAAGAAGAAGGGAUCCUUAUACUAU
rnacentral:tRNA from 1 species